rnacentral:pre_miRNA from 1 species
GUUCCGCUGUAGCAGCACGUAAAUAUUGGCGUAGUAAAAUAAAUAUUAAACACCAAUAUUAUUGUGCUGCUUUAGCGUGAC